GACGAACGCUGGCGGCGUGCUUAACACAUGCAAGUCGAACGGAAAGGCCCUGCUUUUGUGGGGUGCUCGAGUGGCGAACGGGUGAGUAACACGUGAGUAACCUGCCCUUGACUUUGGGAUAACUUCAGGAAACUGGGGCUAAUACCGGAUAGGAGCUCCUGCUGCAUGGGGGGGGUUGGAAAGUUUCGGCGGUUGGGGAUGGACCCGCGGCUUAUCAGCUUGUUGGUGGGGUAGUGGCUUACCAAGGCUUUGACGGGUAGCCGGCCUGAGAGGGUGACCGGCCACAUUGGGACUGCGAUACGGCCCAGACUCCUACGGGAGGCAGCAGUGGGGAAUAUUGCACAAUGGGCGGAAGCCUGAUGCAGCAACGCCGCGUGCGGGAUGACGGCCUUCGGGUUGUAAACCGCUUUCGCCUGUGACGAAGCGUGAGUGACGGUAAUGGGUAAAGAAGCACCAGCUAACUACGUG
rnacentral:rRNA from 1 species